rnacentral:rRNA from 1 species
UACGGAGGGUGCGAGCGUUAUCCGGAAUUACUGGGUUUAAAGGGUGCGUAGGCGGCUUUGUAAGUCAGGAGUGAAAGUUUGCGGCUCAACCGUAAAAUUGCUUCUGAUACUGCAUAGCUAGAAUCAGGAUGAGGUCAGCGGAAUGUGGCAUGUAGCGGUGAAAUGCAUAGAUAUGCCAUAGAACACCAAUUGCGAAGGCAGCUGGCUAGACCUGUAUUGACGCUGAGGCACGAAAGCGUGGGGAGCGAACAGG